rnacentral:rRNA from 1 species
UACGUAGGGUGCAAGCGUUGUCCGGAAUUAUUGGGCGUAAAGAGCUCGUAGGCGGUUCGUCGCGUCGGCUGUGAAAACCUGAGGCUCAACCUCAGGCCUGCAGUCGAUACGGGCGGACUUGAGUACUGAAGAGGUCGCGGAAUUCCCGGUGUAGAGGUGAAAUUCGUAGAUAUCGGGAGGAACACCAGUGGCGAAGACGGCGACCUGGGCGAGAUACUGACACUGAGGUGCGAAAGCGUGGGGGAGCAAACAGG